rnacentral:rRNA from 1 species
GAUGAACGCUGGCGGCGUGCCUAAUACAUGCAAGUCGAGCGAACGGACGAGAAGCUUGCUUCUCUGAUGUUAGCGGCGGACGGGUGAGUAACACGUGGAUAACCUACCUAUAAGACUGGGAUAACUUCGGGAAACCGUAGCUAAUACCGGAUAAUAUUUUGAACCGCAUGGUUCAAAAGUGAAAGACGGUCUUGCUGUCACUUAUAGAUGGAUCCGCCCUGCAUUAGCUAGGUGGUAAGGUAACGGCUUACCAAGGCAACGAUGCUUAGCCGACCUGAGAGAGUGAUCGGCCACACUGGAACUUAGACACGGUCCAGACUCCGACGGGAGGCAGCAGUAGGGAAUCUUCCGCAAUGGGCGAAAGCCUGACGGAGCAACGCCGCGUGAGUGAUGAAGGUCUUCGGAUCGUAAAACUCUGUAAUUAGGGAAGAACAUAUGUGUAAGUAACUGUGCACAUCUUGACGGUACCUAAUCAGAAAGCCACGGCUAACUACGUG